GUGCGGACGGAGGAAAAGGAAAGCUCAUUACCAGAGGUUGCGAGACAUGCCAGCUAACCGUGUGCAAGUGAGCCGUCCUUGUUAGUUAGUUAGUUUGUGUAGCUAUCACUGAUAAACGAAGAGGAAACUCACUGAAGACAACAAACCAGGAGUAAAGCUACAGUUUGAGAACCGCGAAGGAAGCGGGAAUCGGCAGGGGAAACAAAAAGACAAGAAAAAAAACAAACCUGUAGUAAAUUACCUAAAGUAAGAGCACACGGGAGGAAGAGAAAAACCUGCUUGAGGGCGUACUCAAGCCCAAAUUGCCCUACAUGAGUAAUGAGUAAUAAACUAAACAAGGGAAGUCUGAAGGUGUUGUUAUUAAGUUGCACCAGACGAGCUGAAAAUGGAACAUUCAGAUACCAAGAUGGUUUCUGUGAUGUUGGGCAAUAUGAGGAAACUUAAGGACUCUUCAUCAUCAUAUACGUCAUAGUUUUGGAUACCCUUUCUCCUUGUUUUGUAUUGAAUAAUUUUUUUUGUAUAAAGGAUAUAACAAUGGCAAAAAUGAUGGCUGAUCACAUACAUUUGAGGGGGUCCUUCAUGCUCUGUGUUUGAGAAACAGGCAACGCUGUCCCGAACACCAUCCACCAGACUUAAACAGAUGGAACCUUUUCAGCUCUUUUUGCUUGCUUUUUUCCCCCUCCUUGUUUCCUGUCUGUUACUACAGGGCUCUAUUCUGCAGGCAGUGACGGGCUUAUUUACAAUG
ensembl:lncRNA